rnacentral:rRNA from 1 species
UACGGGGGGGGCAAGCGUUGUUCGGAAUUACUGGGCGUAAAGGGCUCGUAGGCGGCCAACUAAGUCAUACGUGAAAUCCCUCGGCUUAACCGGGGAACUGCGUCUGAUACUGGAUGGCUUGAGUUCGGGAGAGGGAUGCGGAAUUCCAGGUGUAGCGGUGAAACGCGUAGAUAUCUGGAGGAACACCGGUGGCGAAGGCGGCAUCCUGGACCGAUACUGACGCUGAGGAGCGAAAGCCAGGGGAGCAAACGGG